GACGAACGCUGGCGGCGUGCCUAAUACAUGCAAGUCGAACGAGUGGCGGACGGGUGAGUAACACGUGGGAACCUACCCAUCAGAGGGGGAUAAGUACUGGAAUCGGUAGCUAAUACCUCAUACCCACAGAUGUGCCCAGAUGGGAUUAGCUGGUUGGUGGGGUAACGGCUCACCCAGGCGACGAUCCCUAGCUGGUCUGAGAGGAUGACCAGCCACACUGGAACUGAGACACGGUCCAGACUCCUACGGGAGGCAGCAGUGGGGAAUAUUGCACAAUGGGCGCAAGCCUGAUGCAGCCAUGCCGCGUGUAUGAAGAAGGCCUUCGGGUUGUAAAGUACUUUCAGCGGGGAGGCGUUACCCGCAGAAGAAGCACCGGCUAACUCCGUGCCAGCAGCCGCGGUAAUAC
rnacentral:rRNA from 1 species